GCGGUAAUAGCUCAGUUGGUAGAGCACGACCUUGCCAAGGUCGGGGUCGCGAGUUCGAGCCUCGUUUACCGCUC
rnacentral:tRNA from 1 species